rnacentral:rRNA from 1 species
CCUACGGGUGGCAGCAGUGGGGAAUAUUGCACAAUGGGGGGAACCCUGAUGCAGCAACGCCGCGUGAGUGAAGAAGUUUUUCGGUAUGUAAAGCUCUAUCAGCAGGGAAGAAGAUGACGGUAGCUGAGUAAGAAGCACCGGCUGACUACGUGCCAGCAGCCGCGGGCAUACGUAGGGGGCAAGCGUUAUCCGGAUGUACUGGGGGUAAAGGGAGCGUGGACGGUGAGACAAGUCUGAAGUGAAAGCCCGGGGCUCAAGCGGGGGACUGAUUUGGAAACUGCCUGACUGGAGUGCUGGAGAGGCAAGCGGAAUUCCUAGUGUAGCGGUGAAAGGCGUAGAUAUUAGGAAGAACAACAGUGGCGAAGGCGGCUUGCUGGACAGUAACUGACGUUGAGGCGCGAAAGCGUGGGGAGCAAACAGGAUUAGAUACCCCAGUAGUC